UACGUAGGGGGCAAGCGUUGUCCGGAUUUAUUGGGCGUAAAGCGCGUGUAGGCGGCCAGGUAGGUCCGCUGUGAAAACCCGAGGCUCAACCUCGGGACGUCGGCGGAAACCAUCUGGCUAGAGUCCGGAAGAGGAGAGUGGAAUUCCAGGUGUAGCGGUGAAAUGCGCAGAUAUCGGGAAGAACACCCGUGGCGAAGGCGGGUCUCUGGACAGUUCCUGACGCUGAGGCACGAAGGCCAGGGGAGCAAACGGG
rnacentral:rRNA from 1 species